rnacentral:lncRNA from 10 species
UUUAGGACCUGGCCCGUUCUCCCCAGCUCCAGAGCAGCAGCAAAGGGAAGCAGCGUCCUCGCCAAUACCUGGGCUGUCCUUCAAGGCUCAGUGCAAGGAAAAACACCUGGGUUGGACAUCAGAUAAGGAAAUUGAGACUCAAAGAGGACCCCCAUGGAGAAAGUAAUGAAGCUUGAAUUUAGACCCAAGAUCAUGUCCCUUUCACUUCCUCAGCCUGCCCAGGAAGUUUAUAGCGUGCUCAUGCCACAAACCCUGGAGCUGGAUACGCGCUCAAUUGGCUUGAAGACCUUGGGUAGUGCUGACUUCCAGACCACUGAGGUCACCUGCAUAAGCGAGUCUGGCAACAAAUAAUCGUCUUCCAGAAAAUGACCAGAAACUCAGCCUGCUUUUUGUCAUUUCACCAGCCCCACCAUCUUUCCUUUAUUCUAGAGCUCCUGGCACACUUACAUGAAUCUCUUGAAAGAAGAGAAAUGAGAGCAUUCAUUCCAUACUAAUACAAUUGUGCCCUAUGGAAAGGCUUUUUGCUGGCAGACAUAGUAGACGGACCAUUUCCCAACUUCUUUUUCUUUGCCACCUUCCAGCCAAAGGUGUCCAUAUGACACAGCUCUGGACAGGAUAAUUGGAAGUCUGUUGUGGGAUUUCUGAGAAAGCUUUUGAUUUUCUGACAGAGACAUUUUUGCUUCCCCUUACCACUUCCUACUGGAUUACAGAUGUGAUGGAAAGAGCUGCAGCAGCCAUAAUACAACCAUAAAGGAGAGGAGAAGAGAAUUGCAAAGGCAUCAACCCACAUUGAAUUGAACUGCUAAGUUAACACUAGCAGUUACUUGCCUCCAGAUAUCUUGGUGUGUGAGAACAUUAAAUCUGUAUGUGUCUAAAUCAG